rnacentral:rRNA from 1 species
CUACGUGCCAGCAGCCGCGGUAAUACGUAGGUGGCAAGCGUUGUUCGGAAUAACUGGGCGUAAAGGAUGCGUAGGCGGUUGAGUAAGUUAUGUGUUAAAUAUAUAGGCUUAACCUGUAGAAAGCACAUAAAACUGUUUAACUAGAGUGCAGGAGAGGUAAGUGGAAUUCCUAGUGUAGCGGUGAAAUGCGUAGAGAUUAGGAAGAACACCAGUGGCGAAGGCGACUUACUGGACUGUAACUGACGCUGAGGCAUGAGAGCAUGGGGAGCA